rnacentral:lncRNA from 1 species
UUGAGGGGGUCUCUGCGGGUUUUUUGGGGUCUCUGCAGGUUUUUUGGGGUCCCACUGGGAUGUUUUGGGGUCCCUGUGGGGUUUUUGGGGUCUCUGUGAAUUUUGGGGUUCCCCCUGUGGAUUUCGGGGUCCUUCUGGGGUCUCUGUGGGGUUUUUGGGGUCCCACUGGGAAGUUUUGGGGUCCCUGCGUGGGGAUUUUGGGGAUCUUUGUGUAUUUUGGGGUCCCCCACUUUGUACUUUGGGGUCUCUGUGGGGUUUUUGGGGUUCCCGGGAUGUUUUUAGGGUCCCCCGGGAUGUUUUGGGGUCCCCCCGGUUUUUGGGGUCCCCCCGGGUUUUGGGGUCCCCCCGGGAUGUUUUUGGGAUCCCCCGGGAUGUUUUUGGGAUCCCCCGGGAUGUUUUUGGGGUUCCUCCGGGAUGUUUUGGGGUCCCCCCGGGAUGUUUUUGGGGUCCCCCCGGGUUCUGGGGUUCCCCCGGGAUGUUUUGGGGUCCCCCCGGGAUGUUUUGGGGUCCCCCCGGUUUUUGGGGUCACCCCGGGGGCCGCUGGGGGACGCAGCCGCCGAGCUCCAGCGCCUGCGGCCACCCCUCGUACUUGUUGGAGCCGCGGCUGUUCCGGACGUGCUGCGGGGGUCCCAAAGUGCCCAAAAUCACCCCAAAA